rnacentral:rRNA from 1 species
CCUACGGGGGGCAGCAGUGGGGAAUAUUGCACAAUGGGCGCAAGCCUGAUGCAGCCAUGCCGCGUGUGUGAAGAGGGCCUUCGGGUUGUAAAGCACUUUCAGCGGGGAGGAAGGCGUUAAGGUUAAUAACCUUGUCGAUUGACGUUACCCGCAGAAGAAGCACCGGCUAACUCCGUGCCAGCAGCCGCGGUAAUACGGAGGGUGCAAGCGUUAAUCGGAAUUACUGGGCGUAAAGCGCACGCAGGCGGUCCGUCAAGUCGGAUGUGAAAUCCCCGGGCUCAACCUGGGAACUGCAUUCGAAACUGGCAGGCUAGAGUCUUGUAGAGGGGGGUAGAAUUCCAGGUGUAGCGGUGAAAUGCGUAGAGAUCUGGAGGAAUACCGGUGGCGAAGGCGGCCCCCUGGACAAAGACUGACGCUCAUGUGCGAAAGCGUGGGGAGCAAACAGGAUUAGAUACCCGGGUAGUC